GUUUUUAUUUGAAAUAAUAGGCGCUCCGCUGGUGUCGCCAUUUUGAAACGGGCUGGCCACUUCGGUCUCAAACAGACCUGCCGAUUAUGGCCGAGCUCUGGGACUCGCUCAUUUCGCCUUUUGGCCAAUUCUGAAAGUUUGCUGUUCGAAUCCUUUAUUCAACCUAACACUGGGUGACUGCUAGCAGCAUGUAACUCUUCAUGGAGGACGCGGAGACGACUGCAAUUUUAUCAUUUGACGUGAUCCCCUACGGGCUGCUGGGCUACAGACAUUGAGGCUCUGGUAACUUGGGUUAUACUGUGACAUAUAAAAGGGUCUAUGUUUCUUUGUUGAUUGUUUCUUUGUACCUGUAGCAUUGGAACGCUUCCUCUUGGUGUUGCUGUGCUGCGAGGGCAUUAAGCAUUCCUGCAAAGGACCAGACUAGCCACUGUUUUAGGUUUAUUUGAUAGGCUUUUGGUUUUGUUUUAUUAGUGCCCUGGUUGUUGCUAUGGGCUAAGUUGUAAGUGUCCAUCCAUGCAUCCAUCAUCUUCCGCUUAAUCCGGGGUCGGGUCGCGGGGCCAGCAGUCUCAGCAGGGAGGCCCAGACUUCCCUCUCCCCGGCCACUUCAUCCAGCUCCUCUGGGGGGAUCCCGAGGCGUUAGUUGGGCCUCCUGAGCUGAGAGCUGUGCGUGCCGAUCUGACCUUACUAUCUGGAGGAUAGUCAGCUGCCCCCCCCCCCCC